rnacentral:rRNA from 1 species
UUAAGUUGCAGGGUAUAGACCCGAAACCCGGUGAUCUAGCCAUGGGCAGGUUGAAGGUUGGGUAACACUAACUGGAGGACCGAACCGACUAAUGUUGAAAAAUUAGCGGAUGACUUGUGGCUGGGGGUGAAAGGCCAAUCAAACCGGGAGAUAGCUGGUUCUCCCCGAAAGCUAUUUAGGUAGCGCCUCGUGAAUUCAUCUCCGGGGGUAGAGCACUGUUUCGGCAAGGGGGUCAUCCCGACUUACCAACCCGAUGCAAACUGCGAAUACCGGAGAAUGUUAUCACGGGAGACACACGGCGGGUGCUAACGUCCGUCGUGAAGAGGGAAACAACCCAGACCGCCAGCUAAGGUCCCAAAGUCAUGGUUAAGUGGGAAACGAUGUGGGAAGGCCCAGACAGCCAGGAUGUUGGCUUAGAAGCAGCCAUCAUUUAAAGAAAGCGUAAUAGCUCACUGGUCGAGUCGGCCUGCGCGGAAGAUGUAACGGGGCUAAACCAUGCACCGAAGCUGCGGCAGCGACGCUUAUGCGUUGUUGGGUAGGGGAGCGUUCUGUAAGCCUGCGAAGGUGUGCUGUGAGGCAUGCUGGAGGUAUCAGAAGUGCGAAUGCUGACAUAAGUAACGAUAAAGCGGGUGAAAAGCCCGCUCGCCG